rnacentral:rRNA from 1 species
AGCGAACGCUGGCGGCAGGCUUAACACAUGCAAGUCGAACGGGCGUAGCAAUACGUCAGUGGCAGACGGGUGAGUAACGCGUGGGAACGUGCCUUUUGGUUCGGAACAACACAGGGAAACUUGUGCUAAUACCGGAUAAGCCCUUACGGGGAAAGAUUUAUCGCCAAAAGAUCGGCCCGCGUCUGAUUAGCUUGUUGGUUAGGUAAUGGCUCACCAAGGCGACGAUCAGUAGCUGGUCUGAGAGGAUGAUCAGCCACACUGGGACUGAGACACGGCCCAGACUCCUACGGGAGGCAGCAGUGGGGAAUAUUGGACAAUGGGCGCAAGCCUGAUCCAGCCAUGCCGCGUGAGUGAUGAAGGCCCUAGGGUUGUAAAGCUCUUUUGUGCGGGAAGAUAAUGACGGUACCGCAAGAAUAAGCCCCGGCUAACUCUGUGCCAGCAGCCGCCGUAAAAC